CCACCUAUAACCAUAUUAAUGACAUAUCUAUGUUAACAAAACCAUUGUGUGAGGUUAGAGGCAGAAGGGGUGCAUGGUCAAAGCCACAGUUAAAAGAGCAACAGAAGGAGAAAAUAUAGUCCUGGAAGACUAGAAUUAAGUCAUUCAGAAAAAACUAAUACAAUGUUUUUAUUUAUUUAUUUAUUUUUUAGACAGAGUCUUGCUCUCUUGCCCAGGCUGGAGUGUAGU
rnacentral:lncRNA from 1 species